rnacentral:rRNA from 1 species
CCUACGGGGGGCAGCAGUGGGGAAUAUUGCACAAUGGGGGAAACCCUGAUGCAGCAACGCCGCGUGAGUGAAGAAGUAUCUCGGUAUGUAAAGCUCUAUCAGCAGGGAAGAAAAUGACGGUACCUGACUAAGAAGCCCCGGCUAACUACGUGCCAGCAGCCGCGGGAAUACGUGGGGGCAAGCGUUAACCGGAUUUGCGGGGUGGAAAGGGAACGCAGACGGGGUGGCAAGUCCGAAGUGAAAGCCCGGGGCUCAACCCCGGGACUGCGUUGGAAACUGUCAUGCUGGAGUGCUGGAGAGGGAAGCGGAAUUCCUAGUGUAGCGGUGAAAUGCGUAGAUAUUAGGAGGAACACCAGUGGCGAAGGCGGCUUACUGGACAGUAACUGACGUUGAGGUUCGAAAGCGUGGGGAGCAAACAGGAUUAGAUACCCGUGUAGUC